AUUGUGUUGAGGUGUACCGCUGACCCUGUCAGCCACAUGCCCAUGCAGCUUGGAUCCGGGAAGCUACGAUGCGCCAUUGCGCGUGAUCCACUCCCCAGGUCGCAACACUUCCAGUAGUGCGACCGAUCGACCUCUGUCGCUGGAAGC
rfam:Pseudomonas batumici strain TCM B-321 Contig_111, whole genome shotgun sequence.